rnacentral:rRNA from 1 species
GUCCACGCCGUAAACGUUGGGCGCUAGGUGUGGGGAACCUUCCACGUUCUCCGUGCCGCAGCUAACGCAUUAAGCGCCCCGCCUGGGGAGUACGGCCGCAAGGCUAAAACUCAAAGGAAUUGACGGGGGCCCGCACAAGCGGCGGAGCAUGUGGCUUAAUUCGACGCAACGCGAAGAACCUUACCAAGGCUUGACAUAUACCGAAAACUCGUAGAGAUACGGGGUCCGCAAGGGCGGUAUACAGGUGGUGCAUGGUUGUCGU